rnacentral:rRNA from 1 species
CUAAGCAUAUCAAUAAGCGGAGGAAAAGAAACCAACAGGGAUUGCCCUAGUAACGGCGAGUGAAGCGGCAACAGCUCAAAUUUGAAAUCUGGCUCUUUCAGGGUCCGAGUUGUAAUUUGCAGAGGGCGCUUUGGCUUUGGCAGCGGUCCAAGUUCCUUGGAACAGGACGUCACAGAGGGUGAGAAUCCCGUACGUGGUCGCUAGCUAUUGCCGUGUAAAGCCCCUUCGACGAGUCGAGUUGUUUGGGAAUGCAGCUCUAAAUGGGAGGUAAAUUUCUUCUAAAGCUAAAUACUGGCCAGAGACCGAUAGCGCACAAGUAGAGUGAUCGAAAGAUGAAAAGCACUUUGGAAAGAGAGUCAAACAGCACGUGAAAUUGUUGAAAGGGAAGCGCUUGCAGCCAGACUUGCUUGCAGUUGCUCAUCCGGACUUUUGUCCGGUGCACUCUUCUGCAGGCAGGCCAGCAUCAGUUUGGGCGGUGGGAUAAAGGUCUCUGUCACGUACCUCUCUUCGGGGAGGCCUUAUAGGGGAGACGACAUACCACCAGCCUGGACUGAGGUCCGCGCAUUUGCUAGGAUGCUGGCGUAAUGGCUGUAAGCGGCCCGUCUUGAAACACGGACCAAGGAGUCUAACAUCUAUGCGAGUGUUUGGGUGUCAAGCCCGAACGCGUAAUGAAAGUGAACGGAGGUGGGAACCCGCAAGGGUGCACCAUCGACCGAUCCUGAUGUCUUCGGAAGGAUUUGAGUAAGAGCAUGGCUGUUGGGACCCGAAAGAUGGUGAACUAUGCUUGAAUAGGGUGAAGCCAGAGGAAACUCUGGUGGAGGCUCGCAGCGGUUCUGACGUGCAAAUCGAUCGUCAAAUUUGGGCAUAGGGGCGAAAGACUAAUCGAACUAUCUAGUAGCUGGUUCCUGCCGAAGUU